rnacentral:rRNA from 1 species
UACGGGGGGGGCAAGCGUUGUUCGGAAUUACUGGGCGUAAAGGGCGCGUAGGCGGCCUUCUAAGUCGGACGUGAAAUCCCUCGGCUUAACCGAGGAACUGCGUCCGAUACUGAAAGGCUUGAAUCCGGGAGAGGGAUGUGGAAUUCCAGGUGUAGCGGUGAAAUGCGUAGAUAUCUGGAGGAACACCGGUGGCGAAGGCGGCAUCCUGUACCGGUAUUGACGCUGAGGCGCGAAAGCUAGGGGAGCAAACGGG